GACGAACGCUGGCGGCGUGCUUAACACAUGCAAGUCGAACGGACAGGCCCUGCUUUUGUGGGGUGCUCGUGUGGCGCACGGGUGAGUAACACGUGAGUAACCUGCACUUGACUUUGUGAUAUCUUCAGGAAACAGCGGCUAAUACCGGAUAGGAUCUCCUGCUGCAUGGUGGGGGUUGGAAAGUUUCGGCGGUUGGGGAUGGACUCGCGGCUUAUCAGCUUGUUGGUGGGGUAGUGGCUUACGAAGGGUUUGACGGAUAGCCGGCCUGGGAGGGUGACCGGCGACAUGGGGACUGAGGUAGGGACCAGACGGCUACGGGAGGCAGCAGGGGGGAAUAUUGCACAAUGGGCGGAAGCCUGAGGCAGCAACGCCGCGUGCGGGAUGACGGCCUACGGGUUGUAAACCGCUUUCGCCGGUGACGAAGCGGGAGUGACGGUAAUGGGUAAAGAAGCACCGGCUAACUACGUG
rnacentral:rRNA from 1 species